GAUAACUUGGUUAGGUUCGCGCGCGAUAAUCAUCGGAAUGAGGUUAGUCGCACGUAUAUUAUCCACGCGACGUACACUGUGUCACGUAUAUUGAUAGAAUAAUAGUGAAGAAAAUACGAGUGGACGAUCCUAUGACAUACAUUUGAUGCCCGUGACAUCGUGCAAAGUUAAACUACAGGCAAACCCAAGAUGACGAAACGAUCGAAUUAGUAAAAUGCGCGAUCAAGGCAGCAGUCGACACUCUCUGCACCGAUGCUUCUUACAUAUUAAAUAACAGAUAAUGCCUCCGCGUUUUAAGUUACUGAUUUAAAUGCAUCGCGAUGCUGCUCGUUUUGGAGUCGAUCCGUUUCACUGUCGCAUGACGUCAGUUGGUACUGAUGGAACAUCUUGGAAGACAGCACGGACAACUACAUCUCGAUUACCGCAAUUGCUUGUCGCAUUUGUGCUUCGAGAAAUAUUCUUACGAGCGGCUCACGGUACUACCUAUUCGUCCGAGCACUACCGUGCGAAUGAUGAGUCGUCAUUGAUGACACCGAGACGAGACCCAGCGGCCAGCGUACGCACUGCGUGACCGCGCCGCGACCCGGCGCAUAUGUACAGCGACACAUGAGGCCUAUUACGUUGCGAAAACGACGUGGGCUGGGAAUUGUCAGUUUAUCACUUCGAAAUAUUUCAAGUAUUGCUUAAAAUUAUAUGCCAGAUGUGCAAUUUUUCAGUCCGUUCUGUGUUACAACGUGCGAAAGUUUUGGUAAUUCCUGAAACUGUGGAAAUUGUACAACUUCACUUUGAUACCACAAAAUACUACGCGAGUCAAUUUAAUGGCUAAUUAAAAUUUAUUGAGUCUAAAAAUAUACGUUAAAAAUUUAGCAUCACACGUGCGAUACAUUUUGAAUUUAUAAAUAUAAAAUAUGAUACUAUUGCUAAUCAGUUGAUGUGUGUAUCAGCUUUCUUUACAUAUGAAUUAUUUGAACAAAUAAUUUGUAUGUUGAUUUUAUUUCUUGCUUCUAACUCGGAUAGUAUAUUUGACUUAAUAAAAAAUGUUCAAUGUAAUGUGAAAAACGUUCGAAGGCAGAGACUGGCUAAAAAAAAAUAAUUUUCGCGAAUAAAUUUUAAAUAAAAAAUCUAUAAUUGUGAUUUUAAUAAUAACAUUAACUUCUAUUUCGAUGAAAUAAAAUGCGUAAGAUAUUCCAAUACGAUUAAAUAAAUUUAUCAUAGAAAUUAAUUUUGCAAAUUGACAAUAGAUAAUAACUCGUUGCAAUACUUGCAAUCUUUCGGGAUGAAGUAAUAAAAUGGCUUGCAACAUCUCAUUCACGGUGCUACGAAUGAUAACGUACAUGACUUGGCGUACAUAUUAAUCUUGUGCAUUUAUCAAAUGCAAAUGUCCACAUUAAAUAUGCUAAUAGAAUUAUAAACUCUGAAAAGUAUUUUUUGGUGUUAUCUAUGAUUAAUAACAUGUUUAUUGUUUAAUACGAGAUCUAUAAUAUUGAGAAAAAGCCAUGAAUUAAGUUUUUUACGAUUUAUCAAAUAAUUACAAUAUUCUUAAGUUUGAUUGCAAUAAAAUUUCUCUAGUAAAGCGUAUAAAAAUAGUUAUUUUGCAAACUUAAUUUGCAAAAUUUGUAACGGUACAAUGUGAAAAAUAGAUUUAUAUUUAGCAUCUACAAAAUUAAAAGAAAUUAUUGAUCUCAUUCUGGUGUUCAAAAAAAGCAUCUUUUUAUUAUUUUGCCCUAGUAAGCAUAAAAUUAUUACUACCGUAUUAAAACAACGAUAUUGAAUGAUAUGUUAUAUAAGUAAUAUUUGCAAACACAUAUAUAUAUCAUGUUUAAUGCAGUAUAACCUCAAUAUGAACAAACUUUGAUCAUGGAUUGGAGAUAAUGUUAAAAAAACAUUUCAAUAAUAUUUUAAAAUUUAUCUUUUGAACACUUGUUUACAUUUUUGUUUAUACAGUAUUAUUUUGAAUAUAAUUUAAAAAAUAUCUGCAGUUACCAUUUCUAAAUGUUACUAUAAUAUUUCUUGUUUACUGAAGUGGUUUUGUUUAUCAUUUAAUAUUAUACUUCUGAAUACUACGCGAAAUCAAAUUAAUAAAUAUAAUGCAUUAAGAUCUAAUUAAUCCGCUUACAAAUAUAAUUACUAUAUGCAUAAUACACUUUAGAUUUAUAAAUGUAAAAUAUAAUUGUUAUGUAAAGGAAAGACACCAAAUUUGGGAAUUUUCAAAUUCUAUUUUUCUAAAUUUAGUACACAUUUCGUCAGAUGCUUUUCGACAUAUAUCACGAAAAUAUUAGUUAUUAAAAAAAUAUAUUAUAGUAUUACAAAAACUAUCAUACCAUUUAAUAGAAGACAUUUUAGUUUAUAUUCAUGUUUUUAUACUUGUCUUUUUGCUGUUGUUUAAGAAGUCUAAAACUAGUCCAAAAACAAAAUGGUAUUCCAAAUUUGGUGCCUUUCUUCUAUUAUUAAUCCUUUGUGAUUACAUCUCCGAAAAGUUCCGUGCUGGUCACACCGAAGUAUAAUAAACCUCAGCCUAUUCUUACUUGCUAUAUUAAUAGUUUUCAUUAUUUUGGCAAAUAGAGAAUACUGAAUAAACUUAAGAUACUGUUUUAAAAUACUGUUUAUCUAGUAGCGAAUGUAGAAAUUUAAUUUUAACAUGAGAAAAAAGUGUAAUUUUUAAAUAAGUAAGAUACAGAACACAACUUUUUGGAAGGUCUACUGGACUCUAGAUGACCACCAAUGAUUAAUAUUUAGUUUAAUAUUAGCACUUCUUAAAAUGAUGGAAAGUCACACUGCAUGUUAGUAUGUUUAAAACAUACAGAACAUGCGUAUAAAACACAAUAUAAAAAAUUGUAUAUUUUAUUUAUGUGAAUAAAUUAAUGUACUUUAUAGGAA